UAUAUACAUACAGAGCUCUCUUCAGAUCAAAUUCCGAAAGGAGAUGAUGGUAGACCACAGCUGCUAGUUCAUGAACACCUUUAGGUGCGCUGGUUAAGCAGAGAACAAUGCGCAGUUUAAGGGUUUUCAUGAACUGGGAGAUGAGGUUGUCUUGAUCUUUUUGGUUUUGGUCCGAAGGGAGCUCUUUUCAUUUUUAUG
rnacentral:pre_miRNA from 1 species